CAUUACAUCGCAUUGCUUCAUAGGGUCUACACAGUACACAUUGCUUCCCAUCAACGCACUUAACAACAUUGGUGUUUACAGCCUGUAGUGCAGGACGUUAAGCAGCCUGCUCCCCUUUCCCAAGCAUCUCCUCUUCUCUUGUUCUCCUAUUUUCUACAUAAUACGGUUGCCGUGAUUGAAUCACAUAGCCCUAAUUCAACCCCACCACAUCUCCCCUCCCCCUCCCGGCUGUCUUUCCAGUUUCCCCCAAGUGCCACCAACUCUAAGGUCUCCUUCCCUGGGUCAAGGCUGCUGAAUAGCCGGACCCUGUGGCUGCUCCAUUUCCAGCAUCUCUGUCUCUCUCCAGUGCAUCCCCUUUCUCUCCUUCUCUCUCACUCUCUCUAUGAUUGGAAAUUUGGACCAACUCAUUUAGGUUCAAGUGAAUUUCUUCUCAAUUUGUAUUAGCUGAUCAAAUUUUAUCACACAUUUGAAUGUAAGAAAUGGGAGACGAUGCCCAGUUACGUACAUGGGUCUCUGAGAAGCUAUUCUCAAUCUUGGGCUACUCGUAGCCAGCAGUGGUCACCUUCAUUAUUGAAAUUGUCAGCUUCACCAACUAAUGUGGUUCAGAAACUUAUUGAAAAUGGCUUCUCAUCAUCAACAGUGACACACAUAUUUGCUGAAGCGAUCUAUUCUAAAGUUCCACAUAAGGCUUCUAGUUUAAAUGAUCAACUCAUUUAGGUUCAAGUGAAUUUCCUUCUGUUUCUCGAUUUCUAUUAGCUGAUCAAAUUUUAUCACAUUUGAAAGAAAUGGGAGAUGAUGCCCAGUUACGUACGUGGGCCUCUGAGAAGCUAUUCUCACUCUUGGGCUCCUCGCAGCCAGCAGCGGUAACCUUCAUUAUUGGAAUUGCAAAUAAAAUCUGCUUCACCAACUAAUGUGGUCCAGAAAUUUAUUGAGAAUGACUUCUCAUCAUCAAUAGAACGCACAUUUGCUGAAGAGAUCUAUGAUAAAGUUCCACAUAACGCUGCUGGUUUAAAUAAAGAUGAGCUUGAACUUUCCCACAUGGCCAUAGUGAGGAUUUGGCCGAUCGAGAGCCAUGAGUUCUUUCAUAGCUUGGAUCCACCCUUCGUGUUGUAAGCCCUCAGGAACAUUUUUAGGCUCAGUUGGAAUAGAGGCAAGAAGACCAUAGUGAGGAUUUGGUUUCACCGUGCCAUCUUUGGCCCGAGUCAUCAUUGGGUGGUUAUUUAUUCAUGGUUGACCUUGUUUGGUCACUCGCUGCUGCUCAAGGUAACCAGCAUGAGAAACUGGUUCGUGAUCUUUGUUGUCCAUAUUUGGAGCAAAAUGUUUUGUUCAAUAAAGGGUGUAACUGGAGCAUCAUUAUGCAUUUGAGUGAUAGAGUGAGCCCCAUCAAAGACGUCCUUAUGAUCUUGGGAGGCAAAGUCAUUCCAACUUCAUCAGCAGCAUUUGUAGAUGAAAAUAAAGCUCUUGGUUGUGUGAACAGAAAAUAUUCAUCAAGCAUCACAUGCCUGGAAAUAUUAAUUCACUCACUUGGAGGAUGAAGACACCUAUAGCCCUUAUGAAUGGAGUUGUAGCCAAGAAACACAUAUGGAAGUGAUCGAAGUUCAAACUCAUUUUUAGCAUAGUCCCUUAGGGAAAGCAUCGACUACCAAAGGCUCUUAAGCAUGAAUAUUUUGGUUGCCACUUAUAGAUGCAUUCAAAUGGUGACUUCCUUUUUAAUGUAAGCAUAGGAAGGCAGUUUAUUAACCAAGCAGCCGUGAGAAAAGCAUCAACCCAAUACCGUAGAGGAACAUGGGCUCAAAAGAGCAUUCAAUCCCAAGUCUACAACAGAUCGAUGACAUCUUUCAGCCAUUCCAUUUUGAGCAGCAGUUUUAAGACAACAUUUUAUAUGUGAAAUGCGAUGAUUCUUUAAAUAUAUGUCUAGUCUAUGAGUAGAAAAUUCU